UACGGAGGGGGCUAGCGUUGUUCGGAAUUACUGGGCGUAAAGCGCACGUAGGCGGCUUUGUAAGUUAGAGGUGAAAGCCCGGGGCUCAACUCCGGAAUUGCCUUUAAGACUGCAUCGCUAGAAUUGUGGAGAGGUAAGUGGAAUUCCGAGUGUAGAGGUGAAAUUCGUAGAUAUUCGGAAGAACACCAGUGGCGAAGGCGACUUGCUGGACACAUAUUGACGCUGAGGGGCGAAAGCGUGGGGAGCAAACAGG
rnacentral:rRNA from 1 species